UCGGGUUCGAAGACUGGGAGCCACAGCACGUUGACGUCGUGUUCCCCGCUGCGCAGCGCGUUGAACGGUUCGGCGCCGUUGACCUCGCC
rnacentral:tRNA from 1 species